AACGAACGCUGGCGGCAUGCCUAACACAUGCAAGUCGAACGAGACCUUCGGGUCUAGUGGCGCACGGGUGCGUAACGCGUGGGAAUCUGCCCUUGGGUUCGGAAUAACUUCGGGAAACUGAAGCUAAUACCGGAUGAUGACGUAAGUCCAAAGAUUUAUCGCCCAAGGAUGAGCCCGCGUAGGAUUAGCUAGUUGGUGAGGUAAAGGCUCACCAAGGCGACGAUCCUUAGCUGGUCUGAGAGGAUGAUCAGCCACACUGGGACUGAGACACGGCCCAGACUCCUACGGGAGGCAGCAGUGGGGAAUAUUGGGACAAUGGGCGAAAGCCUGAUCCAGCAAUGCCGCGUGAGUGAUGAAGGCC
rnacentral:rRNA from 1 species